rnacentral:tRNA from 1 species
GCCGAAGUGGUGAAACUGGCAGACGCGCACGGUUCAGGGCCGUGUGGGCAUCGCCCGUGUGGGUUCGAAUCCCACCUUCGGCA